AGAGUUUGAUCAUGGCUCAGAAUCAACGCUGGCGGCGUGCCUAACACAUGCAAGUCGCACGAGAAAGUGGAGCAAUCCAUGAGUACAGUGGCGCACGGGUGAGUAACACGUGACUAACCUGCCCUUGAGUGGGGAAUAACCUCGGGAAACCGGGGCUAAUACCGCAUAAUACCUACGGGUCAAAGCAGCAAUGCGCUUAAGGAGGGGGUCGCGGCCGAUUAGUUUGUUGGCGGGGUAAUGGCCCACCAAGACUAUGAUCGGUAUCCGGCCUGAGAGGGCGCACGGACACACUGGAACUGAAACACGGUCCAGACUCCUACGGGAGGCAGCAGUGGGGAAUUUUGCGCAAUGGGGGAAACCCUGACGCAGCAACGCCGCGUGGAGGAUGAAGUCCCUUGGGACGUAAACUCCUUUCGAUCGGGAAGAUAAUGACGGUACCGGAAGAAGAAGCCCCGGCUAACUUCGUGCCAGCAGCCGCGGUAAUACGAGGGGGGCGAGCGUUGUUCGGAAUUAUUGGGCGUAAAGGGUGCGUAGGCGGUUUGGUAAGUCUUGUGUGAAAUCUAUGGGCUCAACUCAUAGUCUGCACGAGGAACUGCCGGGCUGGAGUAUGGGAGAGGUGAGUGGAAUUUCCGGUGUAGCGGUGAAAUGCGUAGAUAUCGGAAGGAACACCUGUGGCGAAAGCGGCUCACUGGACCAUUACUGACGCUGAUGCACGAAAGCUAGGGGAGCAAACAGGAUUAGAUACCCUAGUAGUCC
rnacentral:rRNA from 1 species